rnacentral:rRNA from 1 species
GACGAACGCUGGCGGCGCGCUUAACACAUGCCAGUCGAACGGAAAGGCCUGCUUUCCCUUGUGGAUUGCGGGUACUCGAGUGGCGAACGGGUGAGUAACACGUGAGUGAUCUGCCCCCAACUUGGGUAUAAGCCUGGGAAACUGGGUCUAAUUCCCGAUAGGACUGCAGGGUGGUGCCUGUGGUGGAAAACGAUUUUCUAGUGGUUGGGGAUGAGCUCGCGGCCUAUCAGCUUGUUGGUGGGGUAAUGGCCUACCAAGGCGGCGACGGGUAGCCGGCCUGAGAGGGUGGACGGCCACAUUGGGACUGAGAUACGGCCCAGACUCCUACGGGGGGCAGCAGUGGGGAAUAUUGCACAAUGGGCGGAAGCCUGAUGCAGCGACGCCGCGUGGGGGAUGACGGCCUUCGGGUUGUAAACUCCUUUCGACCGCGAGGAAGCCACCUGGUUGGAAGGGUGGUGACGGUAGUGGUAGAAGAAGCACCGGCUAACUACGUG